GACGAACGCUGGCGGCGUGCCUAACACAUGCAAGUCGAACGGAACUCGGGACUUCGGGUUCUGAGUUUAGUGGCGAACGGGUGAGUAACGCGUGAGGAACCUGCCUUUCAGUGGGGGACAACAGUUGGAAACGACUGCUAAUACCGCAUAAUGUGUUUUGGGGGCAUCCCCGAGACACCAAAGCUUUAUGUGCUGAAAGAUGGCCUCGCGUCUGAUUAGAUAGUUGGUGAGGUAACGGCUCACCAAGUCUGCGAUCAGUAGCCGGUCUGAGAGGAUGAACGGCCACAUUGGGACUGAGAUACGGCCCAGACUCCUACGGGAGGCAGCAGUGGGGAAUAUUGGGCAAUGGGGGAAACCCUGACCCAGCAACGCCGCGUGAAGGAGAAGGCCUGGUUGUAAACUCUUUUAGCAGGGACGAAGAACGUGACGGUACCUGCGGAAAAAGCAACGGCUAACUACGUG
rnacentral:rRNA from 1 species